UACGUAGGGUGCGAGCGUUGUCCGGAUUUAUUGGGCGUAAAGGGCUCGUAGGCGGCGUGUCGCGUCGGGAGUGAAAGCCCGUUGCUUAACGGCGGGUUGGCUUUCGGUACGGGCAGUGCUGGAGUGCGGCAGGGGAGACUGGAAUUCCUGGUGUAGCGGUGGAAUGCGCAGAUAUCAGGAGGAACACCAGUGGCGAAGGCGGCUCACUGGUCCGGUACUGACGCUGAGGUGCGAAAGCGUGGGGAGCAAACAGG
rnacentral:rRNA from 1 species